GAUGAACGCUGGCGGCGUGCCUAAUACAUGCAAGUCGAGCGAACGGACGAGAAGCUUGCUUCUCUGAUGUUAGCGGCGGACGGGUGAGUAACACGUGGAUAACCUACCUAUAAGACUGGGAUAACUUCGGGAAACCGGAGCUAAUACCGGAUAAUAUUUUGAACCGCAUGGUUCAAAAGUGAAAGACGGUCUUGCUGUCACUUAUAGAUGGAUCCGCGCUGCAUUAGCUAGUUGGUAAGGUAACGGCUUACCAAGGCAACGAUGCAUAGCCGACCUGAGAGGGUGAUCGGCCACACGGGAACUUGGACACGGUCCAGACUCCUACGGGAGGCAGCAGUAGGGAAUCUUCCGCAAUGGGCGAAAGCCUGACGGAGCAACGCCGCGUGAGUGAUGAAGGUCUUCGGAUCGUAAAACUCUGUUACUAGGGAAGAACAUAUGUGUAAGUAACUGUGCACAUCUUGACGGUACCUAAUCAGAAAGCCACGGCUAACUACGUG
rnacentral:rRNA from 1 species